rnacentral:lncRNA from 1 species
AGGCCGGCCUCAUGGCUGGAAGUCAUGGCGGCGUCUAUCCGACUCGAGGGCGGCGAGCAGCCUCAGGCCUUUGGAAAUUAAAUGUGUUGGCUGUGGACUUGGACAAAAGUCACAUGAAAAACAUCAUCUUAAGAUGUUCCAGUGUAAGGAUCUUUGUGAUGAAAUUUCUAUAAAUGGUAAGAUUUUUGGCUCUUUUCACAGAAUUGCAUAGGCUCUGAUGCCUUUAAUUAUUGGUCGGCUAGAUUUUGGAGAUGUGUGGGUCUUUCA